rnacentral:snoRNA from 1 species
AUGAGGACGGUGGAGCGACGCUGACCAAGGUAGGGGAUGAGGAGCGACACUCCCCUGA